rnacentral:rRNA from 1 species
ACGUAGGGUGCAAGCGUUGUCCGGAAUUACUGGGCGUAAAGGGCGCGUAGGCGGCCUGGCACGUCUGGUGUGAAAGUCCUGCUUUUAAGGCGGGAAUUGCUUUGGAUACUGUCGGACUUGAGUGCAGGAGAGGUAAGUGGAAUUCCCGGUGUAGCGGUGAAAUGCGUAGAGAUCGGGAGGAACACCGGUGGCGAAGGCGACUUACUGGACUGUAACUGACGCUGAGGCGCGAAAGUGUGGGGAGCGAACAG